CGAGCCGGGCGGACGGCCGCGUGGGGAUCGAAGGAUCCCCCCGAGGAACGUCCGGGCUCCACAGGGCAGGGUGGUGGGUAACGCCCACCCGGGGUGACCCGCGGGACAGUGCCACAGAAAGCAGACCGCCGGGGGCCUCGGCCCUCGGUAAGGGUGAAACGGUGGUGUAAGAGACCACCAGCGCCUGGGGUGACCCAGGCGGCUCGGUAAACCCCACCCGGAGCAAGGUCAAGAGGGGCCGUCGCGAGACGGCCCUGCGCGGACGUUCGAGGGCUGCCCGCCCGAGUCCGCGGGUAGACCGCACGAGGCCGGCGGCAACGCCGGUCCUAGAUGGAUGGCCGUCACCCCGACGACCGCGAGGUCCCGGGGCACAGAACCCGGCGUACAUGCCCGACUCGUCUG
rnacentral:RNase_P_RNA from 1 species